rnacentral:rRNA from 1 species
AUGAACGCUGGCGGCGUGCCUAAUACAUGCAAGUCGAGCGAACGGACGAGAAGCUUGCUUCUCUGAUGUUAGCGGCGGACGGGUGAGUAACACGUGGAUAACCUACCUAUAAGACUGGGAUAACUUCGGGAAACCGGAGCUAAUACCGGAUAAUAUUUUGAACCGCAUGGUUCAAAAGUGAAAGACGGUCUUGCUGUCACUUAUAGAUGGAUCCGCGCUGCAUUAGCUAGUUGGUAAGGUAACGGCUUACCAAGGCAACGAUGCCUAGCCGACCUGAGAGGGUGAUCGGCCACACUGGAACUGAGACACGGUCCAGACUCCUACGGGAGGCAGCAGUAGGGAAUCUUCCGCAAUGGGCGAAAGCCUGACGGAGCAACGCCGCGUGAGUGAUGAAGGUCUUCGGAUCGUAAAACUCUGUUAUUAGGGAAGAACAUAUGUGUAAGUAACUGUGCACAUCUUGACGGUACCUAAUCAGAAAGCCACGGCUAACUACGUG